UUCCGAUCCCAAAGCCUAAUAAAAAGCAAAUAUUCUUUCUCAAAAAAAAAAAAUAAAUAAAAAGCAAAUAUACUCCCACCAAAAUUUUCUAAUCCCAAUUCUUAUUUUCAUCUUCCCCCCAAUUUUCAACCCUAACCCCGUCUCCCACCAAAAAUUCCCUCUCCAUUUUCUCACUCUCACGCAUUAUUUCUCACUCUCUCUCACAUACUCACCACCCACCACUGCUCUCUAUCACUGCUUAUCUCUUGAUCCAAAUUCACCCUUUUCCUCAGGUAGAAACUAAUUGACAAGCUCAACUAUUACCUUCUUCAAUCUAUGAUCUCUAGGCAUAGCCGAUUAAUGGAUGAAUAUGGAGAUGCAAAUAAUCUGGAAGAACCAGUAUGGGAAGGUUCAAAUGUGCAACGAUGUGAAGAAGAUCCUAAUGAAGAUGCUGAUGAAUAUGAAGGUUGCACAAAAUGCAGCAAGUUAUCUGUUUUUGUUUACCUUUUUUUUUUUUGAUGAGCUGUUUUUGUUUACUUAAACCACUUGAAAUGUCUUAGUAAAUGGAGUAAUGAGUCAUUUAUGAUGUUGCUCGAACUGUGUGUUUAAUUACUGCUUUUUGGGAAAAAGUUCACAAUGGCAUUUUCAAAUUGGGAUUUUUUUGCAUUUGUUUACAUUUUCAUCAAAGUCUUUUUCUCUUUUUUGAGUCCUCUUAAUUAAAAAUAUAGUGCAUUGGGGUUAAGAAUCUUGUCUGCUCUUAUCAAAUUAUUUGUUAUUACGCAUACUAGAAGACUGCUUGGUCAACAUCAAAAACUAAAUUUUUUACACAAGGACUAGUCAUGUUCUAAUGGUUAUUCUGUUAUUUCCACUGUAAUACAACAAAGAAAUUUGAACUGGGUCAUAUGGAUGCCCUCUUUGUAAUCAGAUCACAUUAGCACUUCAUUCUCUCUAGAAAGGUAACUAUUUUUUUAAAAAGACGACUUUUGUAGAUUGAUGAAUUCCUUGCUGUUAUCAAUAACAUUGUUUUCAUCAAACCAAAAAAACAAAAGGAUGCAGCAUGAAAGGCACCUCCUCUGCGAACAGCUCCUUAAGAACAUGAUUUAUUUGCUUGUCUUCAGCCAGCAUUGCUAGUGCCAUACUGAACUGUUCAUUUGAUAACACAUGUUCACUGAUUCUGGAGGCUAACAGGUUUCUAGUCCUAGAAUCUAGGUUUCACUAAUAAUUAUUGAUUUGUCUGAAGCCUAUUGCAUUUCAUGGACCAAAUAGAUGUGAGAGAACCCAGAUAAUCGUAAAGCUUCUGCUCAUGUACCCGCUGUUUUGUGUUAAUAAAAUUCUUACUAAUUCAUAUAAAAAAGUUGGCUGAGAGUUUAGGGGCAUGUUUGGUAAUGUUGUUCUAGUAAUGUUGUUUGUAUUUUUUGGAAAUACGUGUAGAUGAAAAAGUAUGUGGAAAUAUGUAUAAUGUUGUUUAAAAACUAAAACUAUUGUUUAAGUUGUGAUACCAAACACCCCCUAGGUUUUUUAGAAGCUAAUUUUUUAUACAUUUAGAGAAGUAAGCUAAAGUUAUUUUAUAUUUUUACUUAUUUUAAGAUGAACUUUAAGUCCCUCUAUGGAGCUCUCUUAUCUAAUUUUGUGAUCUUUCUAUUGUUUGAUUAUUGAGUGUUGGAGUAGUAAUUGGAAAUUUGAGUUUUAACUUGUUUGGUUAGUAAUUAUCAUUAGCAUCAAUAUCAUUAACAUUAAUAUGAUUUUAAUGGUUGGUUAUACUCCAUAGAUGGGUAAAUAGGCCACUUCCAACUUUGAAGCAAAACAAAAUGUAGAGUAUUAUGGAACAACCCAACUUUGAUAGCUAUAUUUUGUGACCCUUGUGUGGACAAGAUUCAAGGUGGUCAUAGAAAUAAAUAUGGUUGCUUUAGUCAGGGAUGUUGGACCAAGUUGGUGUCCAAUUUCAUAAGUAGAACCGGUAAAGACUAUGAUAAGGAUCAGUUAAAAAUUAGGUGGGAUGUGUUAAUGAUAGAUUGGAAUCUCUAGGAAAAAUUGAAGUUGGGGGACACAGGACUAGUUAGUGAUUAAUGGUGGGACAGAAAGUUGAAGGUGAGUUGUUCGUAUUAUUAAUAUGUAGUUUCUUUGGAGAUAAUUAUGACUUGUUAUAAUAUGGGUGUAAUGAAAAACUCAUAUUUUAGGAAGUGCCUUGAGCUUCAAAAUUUCGAGAAAAAGGUCUAGAGAACCUAGAACAACUUGAUAAGGAGUUUAGGGAUAUUACAACUUACAAUAACUUGAAUGAGUUCGUUGACCCUUGCUUCAAUCAUGCCACCUCUAGAGUUGCCUAAGGAGUUUCUGGAAUCUGGUGAUUCAUUUGGUAGCCUUGAUUUUAAGGAUGAUUAAUGUGAAAUGAAUAUCAACAUUGAUAGUUUAGGGUAAGAAGCCCAUACUGGUCCAUUGCAUAGUUCAAGAAAGAAGCAGCUCUGUGAAUCCAUACCCUUACAAAAGAAAAAGAAGUUAGGAGGAGCUGCAAAAUUGGAUAAUCUUCUUAGUCGCAUGCAUAUUCAUGUGAGCUUAGGAGCUUAACUAAUUCAGGAGAGCCACAAACUUCAAUUUGUAAUGUCAUGAAAUGUGAGUACACUUCCUGGUGUGGAGUAAGGCUCUAACCUCUACUUUGCAGCUUCCCAUAUCUUUAUGAAAAAGUCAAAUAGAGAGAUGUUUGUAGUUUUGAAGAAAGUAGAUUCACAGCUUAGGUGGCUAAAGUAAGUGGUCAAUUCAAGGAAGUGACCAACCUUGCAUUUUCAUCUUUCAAGAAACAAAAAUUUGAAAGCGUUAGCUUUGGACUAUUUUGUGUUAGCCUUUUCGUUGUUGUUUUUGUUGCUAAUGUAUGUUGUAAUAGCUUUGAACUAUUCUUUGUGCUAUGUUGUAUUAGCUUUAGACUAUUUUUUGUGUCAUGUUGUAUUGGCUUUGGACUUUCUAUGUGCUAUGUUGGAUUGAACUUUGAACUUUCUACGUGCUAUGUUGUAAUAACUUUGGAUUUUCUGUAUGUUAUAUGUGUAAUUUGAAAAUUGUACAAAGUGUUAUUGUUGUCUUUUAAGUUCAAAGGUUAAUUAUUUGUUACU